rnacentral:rRNA from 1 species
UACGAAGGGGGGCUAGCGUUGCUCGGAUUGACUGGGCGUAAAGGGCGCGUAGGCGGUUCGUACAGUCAGACGUGAAAUUCCUGGGCUCAACCUGGGGGCUGCGUUUGAUACGGGGCAGACUAGAGUGCUGUAGGGGAGACUGGAAUUCCUGGUGUAGCGGUGAAAUGCGCAGAUAUCAGGAGGAACACCGGUGGCGAAGGCGGGUCUCUGGGCAGUAACUGACGCUGAGGAGCGAAAGCGUGGGGAGCAAACAGG